CUUGCUUCUCUUGAGAGCGGCGGACGGGUGAGUAAAGCCUAGGAAUCUGCCUGGUAGUGGGGGAUAACGUUCGGAAACGGACGCUAAUACCGCAUACGUCCUACGGGAGAAAGCAGGGGACCUUCGGGCCUUGCGCUAUCAGAUGAGCCUAGGUCGGAUUAGCUAGUUGGUGAGGUAAUGGCUCACCAAGGCGACGAUCCGUAACUGGUCUGAGAGGAUGAUCAGUCACACUGGAACUGAGACACGGUCCAGACUCCUACGGGAGGCAGCAGUGGGGAAUAUUGGACAAUGGGCGAAAGCCUGAUCCAGCCAUGCCGCGUGUGUGAAGAAGGUCUUCGGAUUGUAAAGCACUUUAAGUUGGGAGGAAGGGCAGUUACCUAAUACGUGAUUGUUUUGACGUUACCGACAGAAUAAGCACCGGCUAACUCUGUGCC
rnacentral:rRNA from 1 species